UAGGGAAUCUUCGGCAAUGGACGAAAGUCUGACCGAGCAACGCCGCGUGAGUGAAGAAGGUUUUCGGAUCGUAAAACUCUGUUGUUAGAGAAGAACAAGGACGUUAGUAACUGAACGUCCCCUGACGGUAUCUAACCAGAAAGCCACGGCUAACUACGUGCCAGCAGCCGCGGUAAUACGUAGGUGGCAAGCGUUGUCCGGAUUUAUUGGGCGUAAAGCGAGCGCAGGCGGUUUCUUAAGUCUGAUGUGAAAGCCCCCGGCUCAACCGGGGAGGGUCAUUGGAAACUGGGGGACUUGAGUGCAGAAGAGGGGAGUGGAAUUCCAUGUGUAGCGGUGAAAUGCGUAGAUAUAUGGGGGAACACCAGUGGCGAAGGCGGCUCUCUGGUCUGUAACUGACGAUGCGGCUAGAAAGCGUGGGGAGCAAACAGG
rnacentral:rRNA from 1 species